rnacentral:rRNA from 1 species
GACGAACGCUGGCGGCGUGCUUAACACAUGCAAGUCGAACGGAAAGGCCCUGCUUUUGUGGGGUGCUCGAGUGGCGAACGGGUGAGUAACACGUGAGUAACCUGCCCUUGACUUUGUGAUAACUUCAGGAAACUGGGGCUAAUACCGGAUAGGAGCUCCUGCUGCAUGGUGGGGGUUGGAAAGUUUCGGCGGUUGGGGAUGGACUCGCGGCUUAUCAGCUUGUUGGUGUGGUAGUGGCUUACCAAGGCUUUGACGGGUAGCCGGCCUGAGAGGGUGACCGGCCACAUUGGGACUGAGAUACGGACCAGACUCGUACGGGAGGCAGCAGUGGGGAAUAUUGCGCAAUGGGCGGAAGCCUGUUGCAGCAACGCCGCGUGCGGGAUGACGGCCUUCGGGUUGUAAACCGCUUUCGCCUGUGACGAAGCGUGAGUGACGGUAAUGGGUAAAGAAGCACCGGCUAACUACGUG